rnacentral:rRNA from 1 species
CCUACGGGAGGCAGCAGUGAGGAAUAUUGGUCAAUGGGCGCGAGUCUGAACCAGCCAAGUAGCGUGAAGGAUGACUGCCCUAUGGGUUGUAAACUUCUUUUAUAUGGGAAUAAAGUGUUCCACGUGUGGGAUUUUGUAUGUACCAUAUGAAUAAGGAUCGGCUAACUCCGUGCCAGCAGCCGCGGUAAUACGGAGGAUCCGAGCGUUAUCCGGAUUUAUUGGGUUUAAAGGGAGCGUAGGUGGAUUGUUAAGUCAGUUGUGAAAGUUUGCGGCUCAACCGUAAAAUUGCAGUUGAAACUGGCAGUCUUGAGUACAGUAGAGGUGGGCGGAAUUCGUGGUGUAGCGGUGAAAUGCUUAGAUAUCACGAAGAACUCCGAUUGCGAAGGCAGUUCACUGGACUGCAACUGACACUGAGGCUCGAAAGUGUGGGUAUCAAACAGGAUUAGAUACCCCUGUAGUC